rnacentral:rRNA from 1 species
GAAUCUUAACGACUGCCCGNGUAUGUCAUCCUAANAUGGUNCACGUUGUAUUCUAUGGUCUCAGCANUGAGACCGCUCGGUCGUGUACAGCCUAACACAUGCAAGUCAAACGGUAGCACAGAGAGCUUGCUCUCGGGUGACGAGUGGCGGACGGGUGAGUAAUGUCUGGGAAACUGCCUGAUGGAGUGGGGAUAACUACUGGAAACGGUAGCUAAUACCGCGUAACGUCGCAAGACCAAAGAGGGGGACCUUCGGGCCUCUUGCCAUCAGAUGUGCCCAGAUGGGAUUAGCUAGUAGGUGGGGUAACGGCUCACCUAGGCGACGAUCCCUAGCUGGUCUGAGAGGAUGACCAGCCACACUGGAACUGAGACACGGUCCAGACUCCUACGGGAGGCAGCAGUGGGGAAUAUUGCACAAUGGGCGCAAGCCUGAUGCAGCCAUGCCGCGUGUAUGAAGAAGGCCUUCGGGUUGUAAAGUACUUUCAGCGGGGAGGAAGGUGUUGUGGUUAAUAACCACAGCAAUUGACGUUACCCGCAGAAG